GGGAAGGGUAGCUCAAUUGGAAGAGCGCUACAACUGCAUUGUAGAAGUUGAAAGUUCGAGUCUUUCCCCUUUCCACC
rnacentral:tRNA from 1 species